rnacentral:rRNA from 1 species
UAAAACCAGCACCUCAAGUGGUCAGGAGGAUUAUUGGGCCUAAAGCAUCCGUAGCCUGCUUUGUAAGUUUUCGGUUAAAUCCAUAUGCUCAACAUAUGGGCUGCCGGAAAUACUGCAUAGCUAGGGAGUGGGAGAGGUAGACGGUACUCCAUAGGAAGGAGUAAAAUCCUUUGAUCUAUGGAAGACCACCUGUGGCGAAGGCGGUCUACCAGAACACGUUCGACGGUGAGGGAUGAAAGCUGGGGGAGCAAACCGGAUUAGAUACCCGGGUAGUCCCAGCUGUAAACUAUGCAAACUCAGUGAUGCAUUGGCUUGUGGCCAGUGCAGUGCCGCAGGGAAGCCGUUAAGUUUGCCGCCUGGGAAGUACGUACGCAAGUAUG